rnacentral:rRNA from 1 species
CGAGAAUCAUUCACAAUGGGGGAAACCCUGAUGGUGCAACGCCGCGUGGAGGAUGAAGGCCCUAGGGUCGUAAACUCCUGUCAUAUAAGAGUAAGGCAUACGUGGUUAAUACCCGUGUAUGUUC